CGGAAGAGUUAUUUUAAACCUGUUUCAUCAAAUCUUACGAUUGCCACAAUAUGAAUAUAACUAUAAUGGUUUUUUCCCUAAAACAUAGUAGUAUUUCUAACUGCAAGUGCAAUUUAGUGAUUGCAGAUCUUACUGUGUUUUGAAAUUAUUGAGUCACUGAGUACUUCCAAAAUAAUUUGUUUAUCUUCUAAAAUAUUCUCUGAAUGUUUCAUAUCAACUGAGUAUUUCAGAAAACAUUUUUUUUUUGUUGAGCUUGAAUAGUAGGGACAAGAUAUACCAAUUCUGAUAGCAAGAAUUUCAUUUUUAAAAAAA